CAGCCGCCGCGGUAAUACGGAGGGAGCUAGCGUUGUUCGGAAUUACUGGGCGUAAAGCGCACGUAGGCGGCUUUGUAAGUUAGAGGUGAAAGCCUGGAGCUCAACUCCAGAACUGCCUUUAAGACUGCAUCGCUUGAAUCCAGGAGAGGUGAGUGGAAUUCCGAGUGUAGAGGUGAAAUUCGUAGAUAUUCGGAAGAACACCAGUGGCGAAGGCGGCUCACUGGACUGGUAUUGACGCUGAGGUGCGAAAGCGUGGGGAGCUAACAGGAUUAGAUACCCGUGUAGUCCCUGUCUCUUAUAC
rnacentral:rRNA from 1 species